rnacentral:rRNA from 1 species
CACCGCUGACGACCGGCGCACGGGUGCGUAACGCGUAUACAAUCUACCUUUUACAGGGGCAUAGCCCGGGGAAACCCGGAUUAAUAUCCCAUGGUAUCAUUUAGUGGCAUCACUUGAAUGAUUAAAGCUUCGGCGGUAAAAGAUGAGUAUGCGUUCUAUUAGCUAGAUGGUAAGGUAACGGCUUACCAUGGCUACGAUAGAUAGGGGUCCUGAGAGGGAGAUCCCCCACACUGGUACUGAGACACGGACCAGACUCCUACGGGAGGCAGCAGUGAGGAAUAUUGGACAAUGGGCGAGAGCCUGAUCCAGCCAUGCCGCGUGCAGGAAGACUGCCCUAUGGGUUGUAAACUGCUUUUAUACGGGAAGAAACACUCCUUCGUGAAGGAGCUUGACGGUACCGUACGAAUAAGGAUCGGCUAACUCCGUGCCAGCAGCCGCGGUAAUACGGAGGAUCCAAGCGUUAUCCGGAAUCAUUGGGUUUAAAGGGUCCGUAGGCGGGAUAAUAAGUCAGUGGUGAAAGUCUGCAGCUCAACUGUAGAACUGCCAUUGAAACUGUUGUCCUUGAGUAAUUAUGAAGUGGUUAGAAUAUGUAGUGUAGCGGUGAAAUGCAUAGAUAUUACAUAGAAUACCGAUUGCGAAGGCAGAUCACUAAUAAUUUACUGACGCUGAUGGACGAAAGCGUAGGUAGCGAACAGGAUUAGAUACCCUGGUAGUCUACGCCGUAAACGAUGGUUACUAGCUGUUUGGCUCGAUUGAGAGC